GAACGCUGGCGGCAGGCCUAACACAUGCAAGUCGAACGGUAACAGGAAGCAGCUUGCUGCUUCGCUGACGAGUGGCGGACGGGUGAGUAAUGUCUGGGAAACUGCCUGAUGGAGGGGGGAUAACUACUGGAAACGGUAGCUAAUACCGCAUAACGUCGCAAGACCAAAGAGGGGGACCUUCGGACCUCUUGCCAUCAGAUGUGCCCAGAUGGGAUUAGCUUGUUGGUGGGGUAACGGCUCACCAAGGCGACGAUCCCUAGCUGGUCUGAGAGGAUGACCAGCCACACUGGGACUGAGACACGGUCCAGACUCCUACGGGAGGCAGCAGUGGGGAAUAUUGCACAAUGGGCGCAAGCCUGAUGCAGCCAUGCCGCGUGUAUGAAGAAGGCCUUCGGGUUGUAAAGUACUUUCAGCGGGGAGGAAGGUGUUGUGGUUAAUAACCGCAGCAAUUGACGUUACCCGCAGAAGAAGCACCGGCUAACUCCGUGCCAGCCGCAGC
rnacentral:rRNA from 1 species